CUUAUAUAUUUUAAAUUAGAAUAUUGCAUUGAAGCUGCAAUGGCGGUAGUUUACCUGUAAGUGG
rnacentral:tRNA from 1 species